GAUGAACGCUGGCGGCGUGCCUAAUACAUGCAAGUCGAGCGAACGGACGAGAAGCUUGCUUCUCUGAUGUUAGCGGCGGACGGGUGAGUAACACGUGGAUAACCUACCUAUAAGACUGGGAUAACUUCGGGAAACCGUAGCUAAUACCGGAUAAUAUUUUGAACCGCAUGGUUCAAAAGUGAAAGACGGUCUUGCUGUCACUUAUAGAUGGAUCCGCGGUGCAUUAGCUAGUUGGUAAGGUAACGGCUUACCAAGGCAACGAUGCAUAGCCGACCUGAGAGGGUGAUCGGCCACACUGGAACUGAGACACGGUCCAGACUCCUACGGGAGGCAGCAGUAGGGAAUCUUCCGCAAUGGGCGAAAGCCUGACGGAGCAACGCCGCGUGAGUGAUGAAGGUCUUCGGAUCGUAAAACUCUGUUAUUAGGGAAGAACAUAUGUGUAAGUAACUGUGCACAUCUUGACGGUACCUAAUCAGAAAGCCACGGCUAACUACGUG
rnacentral:rRNA from 1 species